rnacentral:tRNA from 1 species
GAGGGUAUAGCUCAGUGGUACGGUGUGUGCUCAGCAUGCAUGAGGUCCUGGCUUCAAUUCCCAGUAUCGUCA